rnacentral:lncRNA from 1 species
CAGUAGUCAAAGUGGUCCACAUCGAGUUUGGUGAUCCUCUUGGAUCAUUCAUUCAUUCUUUCUUUUUUAGAUUCAGAAGCUUAGUUUCGGACAUGGAUACUACUUUGAAAGUGAGAUUAGAAAUAAAAUUUAGCAAUAUCAAAUUUAUUUAGAUUUAGAUUUAUUAUUAUUAGUUAAAAUUUAUCAUUCAAAAUGUAUUUAAUGUAAAAAAUUUCAAAUAUAUUUUGUUAAUUGAAUUUCAACUUUAGUUAAU